ACUCAAAUGAAUUGACGGGGACCCACACAAGCGGUGGAACAUGGGGUUUAAUUCGAUGGUAAACGAAGAACCUCACCCAGGCUUGACAUGUCAGGAAUACGAUUGAAAGAUUGUAGUGCCGCAAGGAACCUGAACACAGGCGCUGCACGGUUGUCGUCAGCUCGUGCCUUGAGGUGUACUGUUAAGUCAGCGAACGAGCGCAACCCUCAUCCUAUGUUGUUUUUUCAUGGGAGACUGCCGCCUCCAAGGCGGAGGAAGGUGGGGAUGACGUCAAAUCAGCGUGGCCUUUAUGCCUGGGGCAACACCCAUGUUACAAUGGUAGAUACAAAGGGCAGCGAACCCGCAAGGGGGAGCCAAUCCCGUCAAAAUCUAUCUCAGUUCGGAUUGCCGGCUGCAACUCGCCGGCAUGAAGUUGGAAUCGCUAGUAACCGUAGGUCAGCGAUACUACGGUGAAUAAGUUCCUGGGUCUUGUACACACCGCCCGU
rnacentral:rRNA from 1 species